UGGGGAAUAUUGCGCAAUGGGGGGAACCCUGACGCAGCCAUGCCGCGUGAAUGAAGAAGGCCUUCGGGUUGUAAAGUUCUUUCGGUAUUGAGGAAGGUUGAUGUGUUAAUAGCACAUCAAAUUGACGUUAAAUACAGAAGAAGCACCGGCUAACUCCGUGCCAGCAGCCGCGGUAAUACGGAGGGUGCGAGCGUUAAUCGGAAUAACUGGGCGUAAAGGGCACGCAGGCGGUUAUUUAAGUGAGGUGUGAAAGCCCCGGGCCUAACCUGGGAAUUGCAUUUCAGACUGGGUAACUAGAGUACUUUAGGGAGGGGUAGAAUUCCACGUGUAGCGGUGAAAUGCGUAGAGAUGUGGAGGAAUACCGAAGGCGAAGGCAGCCCCUUGGGAAUGUACUGACGCUCAUGUGCGAAAGCGUGGGGAGCAAACAGGAUUAGAUACCCUGGUAGUCCACGCUGUAAACGCUGUCGAUUUGGGGGUUGGGGUUUAACUCUGGCGCCCGUAGCUAACGUGAUAAAUCGACCGCCUGGGGAGUACGGCCGCAAGGUUA
rnacentral:rRNA from 1 species